GUGUAGAGCACAUGAACUAUAGACUAACAUUCUGUACCAGGAGUACACAAAGCCGAGUCCAUGGAGUGCAUGUGUUUGUACAACAUAACCCUAAUUUUCUCCUACUGUCUUUCAGUCUCUAUUUGCUCAUGUUGACAAAACACACACAAAAAAAGAGUGUUGCUCAGCCUUCAACCCCAAGCGUGCAGAAAUGUGCAUGUGUCUAUAUGUGCAUUGAGUGAUAGCCAUGGGAAAGGAUUAGGAUGGCUUUAGACGGGCUUUAUUUAAUAAGCAGCACAACGGCUGCACCGGAUGGGAAACUCCAAAAACACACGCACACAGGCAUGUGCACGCACAAAUACACAAACGCACACACACACUUAUACACUCCCACACACCAGCACACUGGGCUAAAGGACCCGGAGCUGUGGUUUUGUUACGGUCAAAGCUGGACUGAGCUAAGAGGCUAAGUGAACCAUGCGUGAGUUUGACUAGGUUUCUUGGCCCUGGUAAUUGGGACUGAUGGACCUGAAAGUGAGGGAUGAACCAGGGAAUACAGGAUGUCUGCACUGGCAUCUGAUUAGAACGAUUCAAACCAGAACCUUGUGAGCGGUGAAGAAAGCAAGAGGUGAAUAAAAGAUGACGGCGAAAGAGCGGAGAGGUGAAGCCCGUGUCUGCACGGCACUCCUGGGAGCCUAAAAUGCCUUCUCAUCAGUAAACUGUGGUGAUUGAUGUGGUGACCGUGACCUCUGGCCCAGAAUGCUUUGGACACCUGUCUUCUCACGCAAGGACCUCCAGGACGCUCCCUUUCAGUGCAGAUCCUGAUUUAUGAGACCCCAAAGGCUCCUCUUUGGUGUUUUGUCUCUAUCUCGCUCUCUCUAUUUUCCUCUUUUCCUUGCUCUCUUUCUCUUUGACACACUCUAUACCUCCAUCGUGAAGGGCCACAAGAGAAAUGGAGAGAAAUGACUGCUGUCAUUUUUUUUCUCUUUUAACUGGGCUGGCGCUGCUCUCUCUGUCACCGAGCCCUCGAGGGGAGAGGACAUCAAACAAAGGAAAAAGCUUCCACACUUUAUUGUCUUUUACCGCAGAGUGCUUAGAUCUAUUCUCACUCUCA